CUUGUAUCCUUAGUGACAUAAUACAUUGGCUUCACUUGGUACGCAAAAUUUAGGCACUCAGCAAUGGAUGCAAGGGUUGCAACCUCUCUCUUCCUACUUGUACUUGUAAUUCAGGGGAAGCCAUCGUGUUCCGAGGAUUGUCUGGUGCUCCGUAUCCCCGACUUUGCAUGUCCCUAUGUCUUCCCACUGUGCAAGAUGACGUGCGGGAUGAGGGCAAUUGGUCACCACGGCAAGGUCAGGGAGUCAUGGUGCACAGGCAGAGGGAAUAGUGCCGUUUGCAACUGUACUAUUUGCAUGAAGUAAUCUACAAAUACUGUGGCGAAUAACUGAACGGUGCAAUAUAUAUGAAACUAUUUGCAAAUAAUAAUGAAUAAUAACAUUGUGGACUAUAUUGGACCCGCGUAUUAACACGGAGGGCUUUCUUCCCGCCUGGGCUAACAGGUGGUACGUGGGCCAAGUAGCGAUAUCAUGUUGCUGGAGGGGAUAAGGCCAAUUUGUAACCCAAUAUGUGGGUAGAUUAGAGAUAAGAUAUAAAUCUCUCUAUCCCGACUAUGCUGGAAGGAUGGAAAGGAACCACUUGUAAUUUGGAUUCCCACAUACAUAUAAGUGAAACAGGGAGACCCUCACAGGGACACAUCCA